rnacentral:lncRNA from 1 species
UUUUUCGAAAAUUCAACAAUCGCAUUUAGUAGUAAAUUCGCUGAGCGCUGUUGAUGCGGUUUUACGACGGCGCAUUGUGACGAGCACGAAUGCCUCUGAUAACGCCAAAUCGCGACAAUGACGUGCCAAUUGUUUUCAAAUUUUUCAACAUAAAUAAUUGAUUACGCGGCGAACACGGUAGUCUUUAUUGUCACAAAGUCAUAUAAAACUGUUGGAAAUCAAUGCAAACAACAAUAAAGCGAAAAUGUGUGCCAAUAAGACGGAAGCAAUUUGAGCAAAGAAAGCAUUGUAUAUAAACACAAAGUGAAAUCAGUGUGAGACGAGUGAGAAAUAUGUGCUAAAAAUAAUUAUUAGUGACGUCACAUUAAAUAUUGUGCAUUCGGCAAUUAGUCAUGUCACAUAACAUGCUCUGUGGAAGUUCUAAAACGCCCCAUUCUUCGCUUUAAUCAGUAAUAAUUUGUAAAGUAAUGUGUGAUAAAAAGUUGAAUGCUUUUUAUGCCGCAAGAAAAGAAAAUGUUGUCCCUGUAGGAAAACUGUAACUCACCGUGCAAGGAGAACGCUAUACUAAAGUCACCAUACUAUAGAAUGGCUGUUACAGCUGAAGACACCAGCAGUCAGUGCAUUGAGCAUUACAAGUCAUUACAUUUAAAAUUAAUUAUUUCUCUGAAUUAAAGCAAGAAAUGCAAAAAGUGUAUUGUGAAAUGUGAAUUAUCACGCAGUGAGACUUAUUUCACACAUUUCUCGGAAAAUAAGUAAUCGGAAUAAGUGUUGGAUUUCAUAAUUGACCAUAGCAAUUAAUCACAGCACUUUUCGAGUCAAACUGAGCGUUUGGUAGUUUUAAUCAAAUUUUUUGCUUGCCUUUUACAACAUUAGGAAUUGAUAACAAAAUACCAAAAUACCAAAAUUUUAAAAAUUUUAAAAAUUAUUUGGCAGUUGUAGCAAUCAUUUUAUAUGACUUUAAGAAAACGGUGCUCAAUACGUUGAACCCCUUACAUUUCGUUAAAUUCAUUAAGUAUUUCCGGCGGGCAUGUCGCGGCCGUUUCUUAUUUGUAUGCACUUACACACACAUAUUUAGAAAUGAAUUGAAUGCUAAAGUUGCUGUCAGCUAACGCUGCAUGUCAUUGCAUUUAAACAGGGAAAACAAAUAACAAAAAACAAUUAAAAAUUAACAUUUUGAAUAACUAAAUGUGCAAUUAUCAUAAAAAUCAAAUAAAACAAUUGUAAACAUUACAAAUGUCGUGCUUAUUAAUAGCAGAGAAAAGUUGAACUAAAACACGUUUAUAUUGCCACUUGUUGCGCACCGGAGAAAUAUUCCGCAUACAGCUUUUAUGUGCAGCGCAAAAUAUACUUGUAUGUAAAAGGAAUCGAUCGGUUGAACUAAAUAACGCUAAGUUUAUAAAUUUCCUACCGGAAACGCCCCAUGCGUAAACAAAAUGAAACUGCUGUUGAAAGUGAACUCAGAAAGAGCUCGCAAACGCUACGCUCCCUCAGCGCCUGCAGCGACCGCCACAACAAGACAAAUUGUAAGCAAAAUCACAACUGCGCAACUGAAAUACUCAUAGCAAUUGCAUUCGCCGCCCGAAAAAAGACACUCAUCAUUUUCGCAGCUUUUGUCAAAUUCACUUUUUAAUAAAACAUACAUACAAGUCAUGUAUUUAAAAAACUAUUUUACGAGUAAUUAAUAAAUACGCCUUUCAAAUGCCUCUGAAGCACU